UACGUAGGGGGCUAGCGUUGUCCGGAAUCAUUGGGCGUAAAGCGCGUGUAGGCGGUUCGGUAAGUCCGCUGUGAAAGUCGGGGGCUUAACCCUCGGAUGCCGGUGGAUACUGUCGAGCUUGAGUACGGAAGAGGCGAGUGGAAUUCCUGGUGUAGCGGUGAAAUGCGCAGAUAUCAGGAGGAACACCAAUUGCGAAGGCAGCUCGCUGGGACGUUACUGACGCUGAGACGCGAAAGCGUGGGGAGCAAACAGG
rnacentral:rRNA from 1 species